rnacentral:rRNA from 1 species
CCUACGGGCGGCUGCAGUGAGGAAUAUUGGUCAAUGGACGAGAGUCUGAACCAGCCAAGUAGCGUGAAGGAUGACUGCCCUAUGGGUUGUAAACUUCUUUUAUAAAGGAAUAAAACGAGGCACGUGUGCCUUUUUGCAUGUACUUUAUGAAUAAGGAUCGGCUAACUCCGUGCCAGCAGCCGCGGUAAUACGGAGGAUCCGAGCGUUAUCCGGAUUUAUUGGGUUUAAAGGGAGCGUAGAUGGGUUGUUAAGUCAGUUGUGAAAGUUUGCGGCUCAACCGUAAAAUUGCAAUUGAUACUGGCAGUCUUGAGUACAGUUGAGGUAGGCGGAAUUCGUGGUGUAGCGGUGAAAUGCUUAGAUAUCACGAAGAACCCCGAUGGCGAAGGCAGCUUACUAAACUGUGACUGACAUUGAUGCUCGAAAGUGUGGGUAGCAAACAGGAUUAGAUACCCGUGUAGUC